rnacentral:rRNA from 1 species
AACGAACGCUGGCGGCAGGCCUAAUACAUGCAAGUCGAACGAUCUCGCAAGAGAUAGUGGCGCACGGGUGCGUAACACGUGGGAAUUUACCCUUGACUACGGAACAACGUCGGGAAACUGACGCUAAUACCGUAUAAUGACUCCGGUCCAAAGAUUUAUCGGUCAAGGAUGAGCCCGCGCUAGAUUAGGGUAGUUGGUAGGGUAAUGGCCUACCAAGCCUACGAUCUAUAGCUGGUCUGAGAGGAUGAUCAGCCACACUGGAACUGAGACACGGUCCAGACUCCUACGGGAGGCAGCAGUAAGGAAUAUUGGACAAUGGGGGCAACCCUGAUCCAGCCAUGCCGCGUGAGUGACGAAGGCCUCGGUUGUAAGACUCUUCGGAUGUGAAGAUAAUAGACAGUAGACAUAAGAAGAAGACUACCGGCUAAACUACGUGCCAGCAGCCGCGGUAAAGUAC